rnacentral:lncRNA from 1 species
GAGGUCACACGAGCUAGCAGUGUAGUCUUGCUGGCUGCGCGGUGAUAGCGCUCGCUCCAUGAAUUCUGUUAAGUGCUGAGGAGCUUCGGGGUGAGGGUACUGAUGGUCGCGUUUAAUGAAGUGUGGUAACGGGGAGUGGCUCGGCGAUUAAGAGCAGUGGCUGCUUGUCCAGAGGUCCUGAGUUCAGUUCCCAGUUCACAACCAUCUCUAACUGAGUCCCGUGGGUAUCUGAUGCCCCCUUCUGGUGUGUAAAUGUACAUGUAGACAUAUGCAUAAAUAAAUGAGAAACCGUGUGGUGGC